UGUUUCGGGGCGUCCGAAGCGGGCGUGCUCCAGCCUGCUCAGCAGCGAGUGGUUGGAAAUUAGCAAAGUGAGAGGGUGCGUGGCCUGAGGGACUCGGGGAGGCUGAGGGCUUUUUUUCUCAACACUGUGAAGCUCAGGGAAAGGAGUAGAACUGGGAACCAAGUAAAGUAAAAUCGUGGCAAGUGGGCAUAGACCUGAAAUCUCCUUCGUGAGGGAACCCAGAACGUGCAGCUCAAUGUAUGUUUGGAACGAACAGGUGAAAGGAAGCAGGAGGAGGAGGGAGUUCUAGCGAAGACUUCGGAGGGAAGCAACCCAUCCCCUGCCACAAGAAAGCACCGCCACUCCAGUGGGAACGGACACGCGUGCACACAGCCACGAGUGAGGAGAUGGUGAUGACACUCCCAAGUCCAUGUGGGACUCCCUCCUUAUGCGGGCCUCAGUCUGUCAUCUUCCUUGGAGCAGGACCAAAGUAAAUAAGAUAAAGUCACAAUUUCUCAUCCUUCUUCACUCAACUUUUCUUUGAGGAGAGAAUACAGCAGUUCCAAGGACAAGGGAUUCGUACCACUGCUCCUCACUCAGUAAAUAGCAGAGACAGAAUUUGAACGUGAGUCUGACUGAUUCCAAAACCCAUGUAAUAUCCCUGCAUUGAAACAGAGGAAAAUCCAAGGAAAGUGCACACAGCUUGGAGACUAUUGGAUAGGGGUCUGAUUCAGUCUUUCCUAAAUUUCCUCAUAAAUUUGCAGUUGAAGUAUCAGGCAG
rnacentral:lncRNA from 1 species